rnacentral:rRNA from 1 species
CCUACGGGGGGCAGCAGUGGGGAAUAUUGCACAAUGGGGGAAACCCUGAUGCAGCGACGCCGCGUGAGUGAAGAAGUCAUUCGUUAUGUAAAGCUCUAUCUGCAGGGAAGAAAAUGACGGUACCUGAAUAAGAAGCCCCGUCUAACUACGUUCCAGCAGCCGCGGUUAGACGUAGGGGGCAAGCGUUAUCCGGAUUUACCGGGUGUAAGGGGAGCGUAGACGGCAUGGCAAGUCUGGAGUGAAAGGCGGGGGCUCAACCCGCGGACUGCUCUGGAAACUGUACGGCUGGAGUGCAGGAGAGGUAAGUGGAAUUCCUGGUGUAGCGGUGAAAUGCGUAGAUAUUAGGAGGAACACCGGUGGCGAAGGCAGCUUACUGGACUGUAACUGACGUUGAGGCUCGAAAGCGUGGGGAGCAAACAGGAUUAGAUACCCUUGUAGUC